CGGGGCGUAGCGCAGUUGGUUUAGCGCGCUUGGUUCGGGACCAAGAGGUCGCUGGUUCAAAUCCAGUCGCCCCGA
rnacentral:tRNA from 2 species